UACGUAGGGUCCGAGCGUUGUCCGGAAUUAUUGGGCGUAAAGAGCUCGUAGGCGGUCUGUCGCGUCGGCUGUGAAAACACGGGGCUCAACUCCGUGCCUGCAGUCGAUACGGGCAGACUAGAGUUCGGUAGGGGAGACUGGAAUUCCUGGUGUAGCGGUGAAAUGCGCAGAUAUCAGGAGGAACACCAAUAGCGAAGGCAGCUCGCUGGGACGGUACUGACGCUAAGGCGCGAAAGCGUGGGGAGCGAACAGG
rnacentral:rRNA from 1 species